CAACCGCCGCCCUCUACACAUGCAGUCGACGGACGCUUGGGGCAACUUGAGCGUUAGUGGCAAACGGGUGAGUAACACGUGGGUGACCUACCUCAGAGUGGGGAACAACAGACCGAAAGGUUUGCUAAUACCGCAUAUGCUCGAUGAUUCAUUUUGUCGAGUAAAGGCGCAAGUCGCUCUGAGAGGGGCCCGCGUCCCAUCAGGUAGUUGGUGAGGUAAUGGCCCACCAAGCCGAUGACGGGUAGCUGUUCUGAGAGGAAGAUCAGCCACAAUGGAACUGAGACACGGUCCAUACUCCUACGGGAGGCAGCAGUGAGGAAUAUUGCGCAAUGGACGAAAGUCUGACGCAGCGACGCCGCGUGGGCGACGAAGGCCUUCGGGUUGUAAAGCCCUUUUGGCAGGGACGAGUGAGGACGGUACCUGUCGAAUAAGUCUCGGCUAACUACGUGCCAGCAGCCGCGGUAAAACGUAGGAGGCGAGCGUUAUCCGGAUUUACUGGGCGUAAAGCGUGCGUAGGCGGUUGGUCAAGUCAGAUGUUAAAGCCCCUGGCUCAACUGGGGGAGGUCAUUUGAUACUGGCCGGCUUGAGGGUGAGAGAGGAGAGUGGAAUUCCCGGUGUAGCGGUGGAAUGCGUAGAGAUCGGGAGGAACACCAGUGGCGAAAGCGGCUCUCUGGCUCACUUCUGACGCUGAGUGCACGAAAGCGUGGGGAGCAAACGGGAUUAGAUACCCCGGUAGUCCACGCCCUAAACGAUGAGGGCUGGGUGUCGGCAGGGUUACCUGUCGGUGCCGAAGCAAACGCGUUAAGCCCUCCGCCUGGGGACUACGAACGCAAGUUUAAAACUCAAAGGAAUUGACGG
rnacentral:rRNA from 1 species